rnacentral:rRNA from 1 species
UACGGAGGGUGCAAACGUUGCUCGGAAUCAUUGGGCGUAAAGCGCACGUAGGCGGCCGAUUAAGUCGGAUGUGAAAGCCCCGGGCUCAACCCGGGAAGUGCAUACGAAACUGGUCGGCUUGAAUAUGGAAGAGGGUCGCGGAAUUCCCGGUGUAGUGGUGAAAUGCGUAGAGAUCGGGAGGAACACCUGUGGCGAAGGCGGCUCGCUGGGCCGGUCCUGACGCUGAAACGCGAAGGCGUGGGGAGCGAACGGG